rnacentral:snRNA from 1 species
GGAUGUGAGGUGGAUGUGGCUGCGACAUUCCAUCACCCCACUGAUUUCCAGGGUUGAUUUGGCUGAUCUGGGUUUCUAAUCGAGUGUCCCCUUCCUCCCUCAACACCCCACAUGUGUCCUUCCCAAAGCUAUUUGCUCAGUGGAAGAGGAUGACCUUUCCUGAUAGAGUACUGUUCUUGGUUCAAGGGUAUAGGAGUAGCUGUGCUCCCUUGCUAGAACCUCCAAACAAGCUCUCAACUAGGCACCCCGAUUAACAACAUGACGUCAAAUAUUAAUAGAAGUAUUAUGAAUAUGCAUACUGCCAUAU